GAGAGAUUCCCUUGUGCCCCAUUUGCUCAAGCCUGUGUGCGUAGGAGUGGGUUGCUUCCUGCCAAGUCAUCCCUAAUGAAAUGUGAAAAUGCAAAUGCCAGACACAAAGUGGAUGUGCAGUUCUUCAAGCCUGCUUCAGAACUAACCAGCAAACACCAAGGGCCUACACUGUGCUCAGCCCACUGAAAUGUGGCAUGGGGUGAAGUUUGUGAGCUCCAACCUGCUAGCAUUUCUUCUUUACGGUGCUCAGGAUGCUGUCCUGUUUGCCGACAUCUCCUUUGCAUUUCCUCUCACCAUGUGUCUGUCUGGUCUCUGAGCCCCAGCCACCUCUGCAGUGAUUUAUGUGAAAGUUGAGAGCACAACCUGCAUCAGCCUGAUCCUGCACACCCAGCUGGAAAGAACCUGUGUGUCGGUUGAGUUCCCUCCACCAUUCUGUCCUAUUGAUACCACCCAGCCCCAGUGAUGGCUGACAGCAUUUGCAAAAUAAGAAAUUGCUGGCUGGUGAAUAGUUUAGGAGACCUAUUACAAAUGAACAGAAUCAAAGUAAUUAAGAUAUAAGUAUCUUGUCCAUGAGAGAUGUAAGAAAUUAGUCUUCUGUAUCUUUGCAUCUAGUUUUUGCAUGUCAAUCAGUCAUACUUUUUUAUGUUCAUUAAAAAACUUGGUCCAUGUGGGAAG
rnacentral:lncRNA from 1 species